AAUCAACGCUGGCGGCGUGCCUAACACAUGCAAGUCGAACGCGAAAACCCCGCAAGGGGUUAGUAGAGUGGCAAACGGGUGAGUAACACGUGGGUGACCUGCCUUCGAGUGGGGGAUAACGUCCCGAAAGGGACGCUAAUACCGCAUAACAUCCUGCCUUUUAAGAGGUGGACAUCAAAGCUGGGGAUCGCAAGACCUAGCGCUUGAAGAGGGGCCCGCGCCUGAUUAGCUAGUUGGUGGGGUAAUGGCUCACCAAGGCAACGAUCAGUAUCCGGCCUGAGAGGGCGGACGGACACACUGGGACUGAGACACGGCCCAGACUCCUACGGGAGGCAGCAGUGGGGAAUUGUUCGCAAUGGGCGCAAGCCUGACGACGCAACGCCGCGUGGAGGAUGAAGACCU
rnacentral:rRNA from 1 species